rnacentral:ncRNA from 1 species
UAUCUUUAUUUAUGUUCCGUUCAAUUCUUCUUUAAUUAAAGUUUGAUUCUUUCUUUUAGGUUUGGAUUUUGAAUUAUUUUAUAUGUAAGAUUUUACUUUUUUAAUCUAAAUGAUUAUUUUGUAAUCAGUAUUUAAUUUUGGUUUUUAUUGAAAGAUAAAAUCAGGAUUUUAAUUAUUUAACUGACAAAAAUUGUGCCAGCCGUCGCGGUUAUACAAUUAGUUAAAUUAAACUUUUUUGAUUAUAUAUUAAUUUUGUUUUUUAUAAUUUUAAUUUUGAUUUUUAGGUGAAAUUUUAAUUAUAUAUAUAUUAUAGGUUGAUGAUUUUAUAUAUGAAGAUUUUUUUAUAAACUAGGAUUAGAUACCCUAUUAUUUUAAUUGUAAAUUUUUUUAAUAUUAAUAGUUAUGUUCUUUAAAUUAAAAGAAUUUGGCGGUUAUUUAAUCUUUCUAGAGGAACCUGUCCUGUAAUUGAUAAUCCACGAUUGAUUUUACUUUAAUUAUAUUUAUAUAUCGCUGUCAUUGAAUGUUUUAAAAGAUUAUUUUCUUGAAUUUUUAUGAAGUUAAUGUUAGGUGAAGAUGUAGUUAUAUUAAAGAAGAGAUGGGUUACAUUUAGUUUAUUAAUGGGGAGGAAUUUGGAAUUGUUUUCUUUAAAAUUGGAUUUAGGUGUAAUUUUUAUAAAAUAAUAAUUUUGAUUUUAGUUCUAAAUAAUGUACACAUCGCCCGUCACUCUCAUUUUUAAGUUGGGAUAAGUCGUAACAAAGUAGGCCUACCGGAAGGUAGGCCUGGUUAGU